CCGCGCGCCGCCGAGGCCGUGGGGUCCCGACUCGCGGCCAAGCUUGGGCGCCCGAGCCCGCGCCGCCUGUCCUCGGGAGACGCUGGCGCCUGGGAGCAGUGGGGGAGGAGGAGCCGCGGACGCCGAGGGCUCUGAUGGCUUGGUGAACAAAGGGCCAAAUGUGUUACCCCGAGACCUCCCCAGCCCUUACCUGAGACCUCCGCAGCCCUCACGUGAGCCCUCCGGUGGAUGUGAUUUUUGCCACCUCCUCUCUCGCGCGCGUUUCCAGGGAAGGGCAGAACGAGAGCGGGCCACUCUGCUCAUCACAGUGCAGAGAGGGUCUGGGGCGUUUGUUGCAUUGGCAGGGUCAACGCGACGAACCGGACAGCAGGGGUCUGGCGUUGUCAAACCUGCCUGCUUCACAAGGACCUGGGAUUGCCGGCUCUAGGUUGGGAGCUGCUGCCCACCAGGCCUUGGUGGUAGUGGUUAUACUAUGCUGGGCGACCUCCAUCCUCCAUCGACAGCUCUCAGCCUUUAGCGUCUUAUCAUCCCCCUAUCAGUUUCUUCUAAUUUUCCAAGUAAUGACUUUUUUUGUGUAUUAAAACCUUUUUUUUUUUUUUUUUUUUUUUUGUUUUCUAGUCACUUUUUGAAAAAGCAACUUUGUUUUCUCUAAGUUGAAUUGCACUGCAAUGCCAUAUAAAGUUGUUUUUUUAAAAAGUGACUUGAAUACUUAGGGAAGGUACUGGUUUGACAAGGUUACAAUUCAAAGUCCAUUAGCAUUACAGCAUUCCUGUUGUAGAGGGAACACUUCUAAAUGUGGGAGGAUAAAUCACUCUUCCCUGGCCAACUCAACUCUUGGCCUCGCAGUUACUGCCAAGAAGAGAGGAGAUUGGUGCCAAAUGUGGCAGCAGUCUUGAUUUAGUUGUGUAUCUUCUUACUGGUAACUGAAGUUGAACUCCUCCUAUUUCACCUAACACCUGAGGAUGCACAAAGAAACGUAAUUUUGCAUUGGAAAGUUUAGUCUUGACUUUAUUUUGCCCAUGUUUAAGCAAUAGGUUUUUACUCUUCAGUAUAAUGCCGAUGUUAACUUACAUAUUUAAUCCAGUGCAGCUAAUGUUCUGCUUUAGUCUCGUUUUGUGGAUGAUUUGCUUUUCCCUGUCAUGGAUCUCAUCACUUUUUCGACUAGGCAGGUAUAUUGAGCACACCUACAAUGUAUGAGAUACUGGGCAAGUAAGCACUUGGGGUUCUAGCAGUAAACGAUAGACUUGGUUCCAAAUCUUACUAGGGGUUUCCCUUUUUUUGGACAAGGACAGUAUUAAACAGCCAUUUAAAUAAUUAUCUUAUUGCAGUUUUAUUUUGUGCUACAGAGGAGAAGAGUGUAGGGAUCAGAGUUAUGAGAGCAUGUAAUAGGACCUGAUUCUGUUUGGGGUGUCAGAGGCUCAUCGCCCUUUAGCUGAGAUCCGAGGUGUACUGGGGAGAAUUAUGCCAGAUAGGGGAGCAUGAUAUGUGAAGGCUCUGAGGCCCGGUUUGAAAGAAGACCUGUAUAGUCUGAGUAUCCAGAGAGGAAGGAUGGCUCUAGAUCUGGCAGGCCUCUCAGUUCUCAUUAGGGGAUUGGACUUCUUUAGGACAGUCAGGUACCACUGCAGGUUUUUAAGCAGGGGAGUGAAAUUAGAUUUAGGUUUUUGAAAGAUCUCCCUACUACAGCAUGAGGAGUGGAAUGGGGGGGAAGAGCGGUUGGGAGGCCAUUGUGAUAGUCAAGGUAAGAAUAAUGUUGUUAAGGCAUAUGGUGAUGACUGUGAAAGUAGAGGUGGUUGGAUGCAAGUCGCUUAUGGCUGGUUGGGCAAGUUCACUUCUAUUCUGAUGAAAAGUUAACUAAAACUUGAUGAAUGUAUAAGUUUUAGGUGGCAGGGUAUACAGUAAAUUUUUUGCAGGAAUAAUUGGCUGUGUACUUACUAUAUUUAAAAAAAAACAGUAGUUAAGCCACAUGAUUAAAAAAUAAAAAAAUUAGGGCCUGUAAUUUCCUGUGUAAUAGAAGUAUAGUAAGUUGAUUAAUCUUUUCAUUCGUUUAAAAUAAUGAUAAUACUAGCUGUUGUUUAUGGAAUGCUUAUUACUUACCAGGCACUGUAAGAUUUUUCUAAACAGCAAACCUGUGAGAUAGGUACUGUUGUUAACUCCAUUUUGCAGUUGAAUAAACUGAGGCACAAGGAGAUUAACUUGCCAGAGUUGGUAGGUGGUAAAGCCAAAAUUUGAACCAGUUAGAGACUGUAUUCUUAACCAACAGACAGUACUGCCUCUCUAAAGACAAGAGAUGGGCAGAUAAUGUAUUACAUUUUCAGUGAAAAAACUGGGGCACACAGUUUAGCAUUUGAGUUGUAGCCACAUUCUGAGUUAGUGUAGAUCUUUCAGAAGUAGUUGGAAUACCUAAGUCCUGCUGUGCCGCCAGGCCUCACUGUUUUUGUCAUCUGCCAAGUGGACAUCAGAUAAAAAUUUGCUUGGUCCCUGCCUGCUAGACUCUUCCAAUACCAGUGACCAAAGCAGAGAAACUUCAUGUAGUUUUUGGCAUCAGAUCCCCCUUUUAUUUGUAUUUUUGUCUGUAAUCAAAUUUAUGCUAUAAAGUUACAAAUUUUUGUUAUUUGUUUUGCUGUUUUAGAUUUUUCUUAUUUAUACAAAUUAAUUGCAUUAGAGAAGUACAUUGGUUUCAAAAGCCUGUAUGUAUAUGUAUAUAUAUAUGUGUGUAUGUUCCUUAAUUUGUCAGCAUUUAGGUGGUGAAAAUGGAAUGACUGGAUUAAAUAAAUAAGAGAGCUGAUUAUAGUCAUUGUUGGAAGGUUGGUGGAGAUUUUUAUUUUGAAAAUGGUUUCCUACUCAGUGUAAUAACAUGUACUGAAGGUAGCAUGGUGUAGUUAAAAGGUACUGAAUAAGGAUGUGGACAAUCUGGGAUUUAUUAGCUCUGUGGCCUUGUGGAAUCAACCUCUCAGAGUUGUUUUGUUGUGGAGGUAGUAUUACCAUCAUAGGCCCUUCUGCUUUUGGUCUUGGAUAAAUGACUCAAAUUUUACUCAGUAAUUAAGUUAUUUUUAUUUUUUUCAGGCCAAUGCAUAUAUACAUCUUAUCUGCACUGUCUAAAAAAAGUCAUGUCUUGUAAGUGUCAUGUAACUAACUCCAGGCUUGAUCUGUCAUGAAGUGUCUGCAUCUUGGGUUACCUGGGGACCUAGGAGCUGACAACUAGAGCUCUUUGGUUGGGCCUCAGGAGGCCCAUAAAGUGCUCUGAAGUUAAUAGGCUUAAUGUUAUAUGUGUUUGUGUUUUUCUGUGGAGAUGGCUUAUGGUAUUCAUUGCAUUCUUAAGAGCUUCAUGAUCCAAAAAAAUGAAAAGAAAAAAUCCAUAGGAUUGCCAUUUGAAAAAGUUUUCUUGGGGAAAUCAGAUAGUUCUGUUAUAGUAGAUCACAUGAUCAACAUUUAAUAUGAUUUUCACAUGCAUUAUGCCAUCUUUUCUCAGGCAGUUUUCCUACUUAAUUUUUAUUAUUACCACGCUUUAAAGUCUUUAUGUCCUUAUGUUUUUCUAGAUACAUUGCUAGAAAGAAGCAGGAGAUAGUAAAGCUGGAGUUAGGAUAAGGCAAAAGAAGUUUUGAAGGAAUAGUCUUAAUAUGGUAUCUAUGGAAAUAUCUUACCUAGUCUUGUGGUUUCAGUCUGGUCCCUGUGAACGAUUCCUAGCCUGUGUAUCCAAGACUACAAACACAAAGACUCUAGGCUUUAAGCCUUAGAGUCAUCUUUAGUGACUUUCGGACUGGACUUUUUAGGCAUUAGCCAAAUUCUGUACAGAGGCAUUUUUCCAAAGUGUGGUUGGGGUGCUUCAGGAAAAGCCAUACUAUGAGUAGGUUGAAGACUGACAAGUCCUAUGGUAAAGAAACCUGGUAAACUUUGCUUUAAUAAUAAGACCUGAUUAUAGUCAUUCUUGGAAGGUUGGUGGAGGUUUUUAUUUUGAAAACGGUUUCAUACUCAGUGUAAUAACAUAUUUAUUGUACUUAAGGUGGCAUGGUGUAGUUAAAAGGCACUGAGGAUGUGGACAAUCUGGGAUUUAUUAGCUCUGUGACCUUGUGGAAUCAACCUGUCAGAGCUUUUUUGUUGUGGAGGUAGUAUUACCAUCAUAGGCCCUUGAUGACAAAAACUAUGAGAUUCUUUUUCUCUUUAAUACAUAUUGCUUGUCCUUAGUCUUAGUGUCUUGAAGAGCAUGCUUUGAAAGGUUGAUACUGAUUUGUUUUAUCUAUGUGUGUUUGGAAGCCAUUUGCUCUGAAGCACAGGCUGCAGUGUUGCUAAGCUUCCAGGUAGCAUUCACAUGGUAGCCUAUGUAAAUAGAUUUAGGUGUCUGUGAAAUCUCGCAGGGAAAAAGGUGAGGAUUGGGCAGUAAAAUCAGGAAACCAAUUUGUAUGCAUUUAGAGAAUUAUGUGUUAAUUUGUAAUUAGGCGUUUUUCAAGGUGUUCUACUUAAUAUUAUCAAAGACUAAUUCUUCCAUUAUAAUCAGCAUUUGUGAGAACCUUUCUGGAAAACUCAGUUCUUAAACCUAACUGAUGAAGACCUUAAGCAUUUAGAAAAGAACAUUUGAAGGAAACUCAAACAUUGUUAUUUGGAGUUAUGCUCACUUUUAUUUACUUCCAUUUAGAAUAGAGUCUAGAGAGACCAGAAGAAAUGGCCCUAAACUGCAGAAAGAUCAUUUAAAGUUGAUUAAAGUAGAAUUUCCAAUCAUCAGUAGCUGUUUGAGGUGAAAAGU